UCAGAGCUAAGACUUUAGUUACCUGUCAUAUCUGCUUUAACACUACGAACCCACAUGCAGAACACAACUCGGGACGCGAAAGAUCAGUUAAAGUGAUUUAUUUACAAAAGAUU